GUGCACCUCUGACCCCCGGGAAGGCGGCGCGACCACUGAUAGGUUCGCUCGAGAAACCAACGGCGGCGCGCGAAUGAAGACCAAGUGUCCGAGCGUGACCCGCUCUCCUGAUCCAGGACCCCUCCUCAGAGACCCGGGCUGAGCCAUCUCCGCAACCUGGAAAGAAGCUUUUGGACUCAGGCUAGAAUCUCUGCUCGCUUUACUCCUGGAGGCAGAAUGUUGUACCAAGCGAGCCGUCUGAGAUGAUUUUCGUUCUUUUAGCCCUGGAACAAACCAGGAAUUGACCAAAAUGCUCUGAGACACAUACAAGACUGACAGAGAAGUGUCUAUACCAGGCUGGGUGUGGUGGUGCACUCCUGUAAUAUCAGCACUCAGGAGGCUGAGACAGAA